CCCCAAAAAGCCGUCCCAGUUCGGAUCGCAGGCUGCAACCCGCCUGCGUGAAGUCGGAAUCGCUAGUAAUCGCGGAUCAGCAUGCCGCGGUGAAUACGUUCCCGGGCCUUGUACACACCGCCCGUCACACCAUGAGAGUCGGGAACACCCGAAGUCCGUAGCCUAACCGCAAGGAGGGCGCGGCCGAAGGUGGGUUCGAUAAUUGGGGUGAAGUCGUAACAAGGUACC
rnacentral:rRNA from 1 species